rnacentral:rRNA from 1 species
UACGUAGGCAGCGAGCGUUGUUCGGAAUUACUGGGCGUAAAGAGCGUGUAGGCGGUGUUCCCAGUCUGUUGUGAAAUCUCCCGGCUUAACUGGGAGGGUGCAGCGGAAACUAGAAUGCUAGAGGGUGGGAGAGGUAAGCGGAAUUCCUGGUGUAGCGGUGAAAUGCGUAGAUAUCAGGAGGAACACCGGUGGCGAAGGCGGUUCUCUGGGAAUUACCUGACGCUGAGGAGCGAAAGUGUGGGGAGCGAACAGG